UUCUCUCUGAUCUCUCAGUAUUUUCCUCUAAAUCUGACUCCAGGCUUUUAUUAUUAAGACCAAUGAGAACUGCUGUUACAGAUCUACAUCAAAAGCAUCAAAUCCUGCAGGUGGCCUUUUAAAAUAUGCACCAGAGACACAGAGUACCACGCAGGAGCUGAAAAUGUUCCAAAGACUUCUGGGUUCUCUCUCCACUUUUCCCGUCUUUUCAACCCCCUUGCCUGACUUGGAUGAUGCGAUGUUCUGAGGAAUUCCUUAAUCCUAGUCACUCCUCAGUCAGGCACAUCUACGAAA
rnacentral:lncRNA from 1 species